GAUUUGGAGUUCUUUUGUAUCUUCUUCGUUCGAGUGUGAGAACGGGAGACCGCAGGAUGACAAUGUUUACAAUUAGGGCCAGCCCGAGAAGGUCUCACUAUACUCAUUGGCUCAAUGGACAAGCACAGACUGCUAUCAUCUACCUCAUCAUCAUCCUUUCCUACAUUUAGUGGUUCACACUUCACAGUCAGAGAAAUCCUGCAAGGAGUGUCUUCUAACUACAGUUUUUUUUCCGAAUGAUAUAUGUAGCUACUAAUACCUUUUUGCACAAGGUGUGAGCUGGUGUCAUUUCCAUAGGUGGUGAUCUAGAAGGUUGGGAAGAUCCAAUUUUAUCUCUCACGAUAUUUACAUAUUCCCUUAACCAGUGGGGCAUAAUCCCAUUUUGGAACUAAAAUUUGUGUUGAGCGGCAAUUGGAUUAUUUGCAAAACACCGCGUUAAUAUAAAGAAAUACACAACUGCCCCUCGUUCCCCCAAACCCUUUUACAAAUUCUAGGACCGGAAGAGUGCCCAUCUAUGGUGUCUCAUCCUCCUCUGACGGGAUGCAGCAUAGCCAGACCCAGGUUGUUCAUCGUGAAAUACCUUCUAGAAAAUGGAUUGCCAGCGACCCUUGACAAACUCCUUUUCCGAUAAACACUUGGCAGAAAUCUUACCCUACGUGCAAUUCCCAACUGAAGGGGUAUGCGCGGCCACAACAUACGUGUCAUGCUACCUCUUCAUUGUUGACUGUUGCUUCAUCCAUUACCUUUGUAAGCUCUAGGACCACCCGUAUUUCGCUUCAUCAAUAAAAGCUACUCCCGGUCUCGGCCUAGGACAGGAAAACACUGCAAUGUUUACUAAGUCGGGAGUAAGCAUUGCACCCUCAUGUCAUGCCGUUCCCAAGUUUAGCAGCCAGAACCACCAUGUUUAGUCCCGACUCAGCACUCUUCUUCCUGUCCACCACUACUGACUACUAGGUUGUACAUGAAUUUUGCAAUGGUGCAUCCUCUUGAAAAGGCACCGGACACUGGAUAUAGAUGUUCGUUUCUUCUUCUUCUCUUGAAACAAGGGCUCAAGCGUUCCCACUUUUCAUUUAUUAAAAAAAUAAUAUAAAAGCAUCCGAGAGGCACAAGAAACAACAAAAAACGGUGUACUCUUGCAAACGUUACAUGAUCCAUGUGUUCCGCACCAGUGAUAAGCCAUUUACUGGCCUCAGUUUUGAUCUAAUUAGCAAAUAUGACAAGGGGC
rnacentral:lncRNA from 1 species